rnacentral:tRNA from 1 species
ACCUGGGUGGCUCAGUUGGUUGAGUGUCUGACUUCGGCUCAGGUCAUGAUCUCCUGGUUCGUGGGUUCAAGCCCCACGUUGGGCU